UCUACGGCCAUACCACCCUGAAUGCGCCCAAUCUUGUCUGAUCUCGGAAGCUAAGCAGGGUCGGGCCUGGUUAGUACUUGGAUGGGAGAGAACCAGAAAUACAGUAAGAA
rnacentral:rRNA from 1 species